rnacentral:rRNA from 1 species
AGAACGAACGCUGGCGGCGUGGAUUAGGCAUGCAAGUCGAACGCGAAAGAGGGGGAAACUCCUCGAGUAGAGUGGCGAACGGGUGAGUAACGCGUGAAGAACCUGCCUUCAACAGGGGGAUAACACUCCCAACGGGGUGCUAAUACCGCAUGAGACCACGGGUUCAUAUGAAUCUGAGGUCAAAGGUGGCCUCUGCUUGCAAGCUACCGGUUGAAGAUGGCUUCGCGUCCCAUUAGCUAGUUGGCGGUGUAACGGACCACCAAGGCGACGAUGGGUAGCUGGUCUGAGAGGAUGGUCAGCCACACUGGGACUGAGAUACGGCCCAGACUCCUACGGGAGGCAGCAGUCGAGAGGCUUUGGCAAUGGGGGAAACCCUGACCAAGCGACGCCGCGUGGAGGAUGAAGGCCUUUGGGUUGUAAACUCCUUUUGUCGGGGAAGAAAUGCGAUCAGGUGAACAAUCUGGUCGUUUGACGGUACCCGGCGAAUAAGCUCCGGCUAACUCCGUGCCAGCAGCCGCGGUAACACGGGGGGAGCAAGCGUUGUUCGGAAUCACUGGGCGUAAAGGGCGUGUAGGCGGAUAGGUAAGUGGAAUGUGAAAUCCCUCGGCUCACCCGAGGACCUGCAUCCCAAACUGCCUGUCUUGAGUAUGGGAGAGGAUGAGGGAAUUCCUGGUGUAGCGGUGAAAUGCGUAGAUAUCAGGAGGAACACCGGUGGCGAAGGCGCUCAUCUGGCCCAAUACUGACGCUGAGGCGCGAAAGCUAGGGGAGCAAACGGGAUUAGAUACCCCGGUAGUCCUAGCCGUAAACGGUGAGCACUAGGUGUUGGAGGCAUCGACCCCUCCAGUGCCGCAGCUAACGCAUUAAGUGCUCCGCC